AAAAGACAUCAUAGAGAAGAGAGUGACUCACAAGUGGUGUGGGCUCCAACAAGUAGGAUUGAUUUUGAAGUUUGGGAAUGAGACACUACUAAUUAUUGGACAAGGGAACUAAAAUCAGAUAUGAGAAGGCACUAAAGAAGACUUUGUCUUUGCUGAACAUAAGAUUUUAUAACAAACCAUCAUUUCUGAGAUUUUUAUCGUGGAACAUCGUGCUGCCAUCUGGGAAGAAAAACACGAUGGUACAGGAGCAGCUGCUCCACCUGUCCUUGAAGUGAGGAAUUAUAUUUGCUGCAUUUAUUGAGGUUGACAAGAACCACCCAGCAAGUGUUUGUGAUGUUUGGCUGUUAACUCCGUAAAUGGUUCCAAUGGGCUGAAUUCUGAUGGCCUUUCUCUCAAUG
rnacentral:lncRNA from 1 species